UUCUGUAUUCAGUCUGUUAGCAAACCAUCGGUUACUAACGGCACCUUUGCGAACAGGUGAAACUAUUCUCUAGCAACUUUUCUUGAGAAUACUGCACCUCCCAAAUAAACCAGUGACUGUACCCUAGAGAAACGACCACUUUUUACUUUCACAAUGGCGUCGUCUGCGAUGAUAAAUGUCCCCACCACCGCCUCCCGCUUCGCCCUGCUCCAGAUAGACUCGGAUUCGGACUCCGACGCCUCUGAUGCGGGAAAGACCACCACCAAAGGAGGACGGGAAGCCUCUGGGAAGCCCCGGCAGGGAAAGACAGGAGCAGCCGGGGGGAAAGGUGGUCAGCUAAACGACAAGAAGAAAGACAAGAAAAAGAAGAAGAAGGAACAGCAGCAGAGUGAGGCAAAUGAGUUACGUAAUUUGGCCUUCAAGAAGAUUCCUCAGAAGUCGUGUGCCCCGCCGCCCUGCAUGACGCUGUCAGGAAUAGCCAGUGAACUCCUCAGUCCUGCAGCACAGGAUCAAGAUGUGCCUUCAGAGGGGUGGCAGCAGUGGAAGCAGAGGGACGAACAGAUAACCACUGAGCUGUAUGAGGCAGACUUGGAGAAGGCCUUGAUUCUAAGUAAACUAGAAUACGAACAACAGAAACAGAACAUCAACACAAACACAUCCUCACCGAAGUCCAGAGGAGGGAAAGAGGGUGGAGGGAAGAAGGACAAAAAAAAGAACCAGCAGGGGAAAGACAAAAAGACUGUUUCACUGCAGGACUUCCAGGCUGAGGGCAGCACAGAACAUUUGAGUAGAAAACAAGAGAAAGAGGAUGCCAGGGCAUCAAACAUAGUGCUGGGAGUGGGACAAGAGGAACGUUUUUUCAAUAAGCUGGAGGAUGACGUCAGUCGGAUCAUCCAACAGGAGAAGAGACGCGAGCAGUACGCAAACAGCCAGGGACAGGAAGUCAACACCUCUACAGAACACGAACCGGACCCCCGAGCAGAGCAGCUGAAGUACGAGCUGGAGAAAAAAGACCAGGAAAUCGAAAAGCUAAAGAAGACCAUUUCACAGUGGGAGGUGAAAUACAAAGAAGUGAAAGCACGAAAUUCUCAGCUUCUGAAGAUGCUCCAACAAGGAGAAAUGAAAGACAAAGCAGAAAUCCUUCUACAAGUAGAAGAGUUGCUACAUAUAAAAGAAGAAUUGUCAUCACAGGUAACAUUACUACAUGGUGCCCUUGAGCAAGAAAGGUCUAAAGUCAAAGGUCUGCAGUCAGAACAACCUAAACAUCAGAAAAAAGGGAGGCAGAAGAGAGAACUGUAGCAUAAGAAAGGCCCGACAUAAACAGCUUCUGCUUUAUUGGUAUAGCCAAGUGAGAUAACAGAAAUUGGUAACAAGAAAGGGAAGAAAGGCUCAGAAGCAGAUCUAUGAAAGUUUCAGAAGUUAAUGUACGAUCAAAUGAAUGAACAAACAAAUGAAGAAAACAUUACCAAUCACAAGCAGGGUCCUCUUUCUUCUUCUUCUUUGUUUUUUUUUUUUAGCUUGGACUUGAUGUCAGCAUAAAAUGCAUGCUCCUCAUACACUCAUAAUACACUCCAGGCAGGGAAAAAAGGAUGUUUAACACAACUGAACAAGAGUCUCAGAAGUUCUCAGAAUGUUAAUUGUGUUCAAAUGGUUUGACGUACAAUGCUGCCCUCUGCAUGCACAGGUGUGUCACUACAUCUUUUGUGCUGUUGAAGGCUUUGUGCCUGAUCUUUCUUUGGAUUUAACUCAAAAUUGACAGAUGUGAAAUGUACGUUUAGGUUUUCUUUUCAACUGUUAAGUAAAUAAAAUACUUUUUCAGUGAA